rnacentral:rRNA from 1 species
GGUUAAGCGACUAAGCGUACACGGUGGAUGCCCUGGCAGUCAGAGGCGAUGAAGGACGUGCUAAUCUGCGAUAAGCGUCGGUAAGGUGAUAUGAACCGUUAUAACCGGCGAUUUCCGAAUGGGGAAACCCAGUGUGUUUCGACACACUAUCAUUAACUGAAUCCAUAGGUUAAUGAGGCGAACCGGGGGAACUGAAACAUCUAAGUACCCCGAGGAAAAGAAAUCAACCGAGAUUCCCCCAGUAGCGGCGAGCGAACGGGGAGCAGCCCAGAGCCUGAAUCAGUGUGUGUGUUAGUGGAAGCGUCUGGAAAGGCGCGCGAUACAGGGUGACAGCCCCGUACACAAAAAUGCACAUACUGUGAGCUCGAUGAGUAGGGCGGGACACGUGGUAUCCUGUCUGAAUAUGGGGGGACCAUCCUCCAAGGCUAAAUACUCCUGACUGACCGAUAGUGAACCAGUACCGUGAGGGAAAGGCGAAAAGAACCCCGGCGAGGGGAGUGAAAAAGAACCUGAAACCGUGUACGUACAAGCAGUGGGAGCCUCUUAAUGGGGUGACUGCGUACCUUUUGUAUAAUGGGUCAGCGACUUAUAUUCUGUAGCAAGGUUAACCGAAUAGGGGAGCCGAAGGGAAACCGAGUCUUAACUGGGCGUUAAGUUGCAGGGUAUAGACCCGAAACCCGGUGAUCUAGCCAUGGGCAGGUUGAAGGUUGGGUAACACUAACUGGAGGACCGAACCGACUAAUGUUGAAAAAUUAGCGGAUGACUUGUGGCUGGGGGUGAAAGGCCAAUCAAACCGGGAGAUAGCUGGUUCUCCCCGAAAGCUAUUUAGGUAGCGCCUCGUGAAUUCAUCUCCGGGGGUAGAGCACUGUUUCGGCAAGGGGGUCAUCCCGACUUACCAACCCGAUGCAAACUGCGAAUACCGGAGAAUGUUAUCACGGGAGACACACGGCGGGUGCUAACGUCCGUCGUGAAGAGGGAAACAACCCAGACCGCCAGCUAAGGUCCCAAAGUCAUGGUUAAGUGGGAAACGAUGUGGGAAGGCCCAGACAGCCAGGAUGUUGGCUUAGAAGCAGCCAUCAUUUAAAGAAAGCGUAAUAGCUCACUGGUCGAGUCGGCCUGCGCGGAAGAUGUAACGGGGCUAAACCAUGCACCGAAGCUGCGGCAGCGACACUAUGUGUUGUUGGGUAGGGGAGCGUUCUGUAAGCCUGUGAAGGUGUACUGUGAGGUAUGCUGGAGGUAUCAGAAGUGCGAAUGCUGACAUAAGUAACGAUAAAGCGGGUGAAAAGCCCGCUCGCCGGAAGACCAAGGGUUCCUGUCCAACGUUAAUCGGGGCAGGGUGAGUCGACCCCUAAGGCGAGGCCGAAAGGCGUAGUCGAUGGGAAACAGGUUAAUAUUCCUGUACUUGGUGUUACUGCGAAGGGGGGACGGAGAAGGCUAUGUUGGCCGGGCGACGGUUGUCCCGGUUUAAGCGUGUAGGCUGGUUUUCCAGGCAAAUCCGGAAAAUCAAGGCUGAGGCGUGAUGACGAGGCACUACGGUGCUGAAGCAACAAAUGCCCUGCUUCCAGGAAAAGCCUCUAAGCAUCAGGUAACAUCAAAUCGUACCCCAAACCGACACAGGUGGUCAGGUAGAGAAUACCAAGGCGCUUGAGAGAACUCGGGUGAAGGAACUAGGCAAAAUGGUGCCGUAACUUCGGGAGAAGGCACGCUGAUAUGUAGGUGAAGUCCCUCGCGGAUGGAGCUGAAAUCAGUCGAAGAUACCAGCUGGCUGCAACUGUUUAUUAAAAACACAGCACUGUGCAAACACGAAAGUGGACGUAUACGGUGUGACGCCUGCCCGGUGCCGGAAGGUUAAUUGAUGGGGUUAGCGGUAACGCGAAGCUCUUGAUCGAAGCCCCGGUAAACGGCGGCCGUAACUAUAACGGUCCUAAGGUAGCGAAAUUCCUUGUCGGGUAAGUUCCGACCUGCACGAAUGGCGUAAUGAUGGCCAGGCUGUCUCCACCCGAGACUCAGUGAAAUUGAACUCGCUGUGAAGAUGCAGUGUACCCGCGGCAAGACGGAAAGACCCCGUGAACCUUUACUAUAGCUUGACACUGAACAUUGAGCCUUGAUGUGUAGGAUAGGUGGGAGGCUUUGAAGUGUGGACGCCAGUCUGCAUGGAGCCGGCCUUGAAAUACCACCCUUUAAUGUUUGAUGUUCUAACGUUGGCCCCUGAUCGGGGUUGCGGACAGUGUCUGGUGGGUAGUUUGACUGGGGCGGUCUCCUCCUAAAGAGUAACGGAGGAGCACGAAGGUUGGCUAAUCCUGGUCGGACAUCAGGAGGUUAGUGCAAUGGCAUAAGCCAGCUUGACUGCGAGCGUGACGGCGCGAGCAGGUGCGAAAGCAGGUCAUAGUGAUCCGGUGGUUCUGAAUGGAAGGGCCAUCGCUCAACGGAUAAAAGGUACUCCGGGGAUAACAGGCUGAUACCGCCCAAGAGUUCAUAUCGACGGCGGUGUUUGGCACCUCGAUGUCGGCUCAUCACAUCCUGGGGCUGAAGUAGGUCCCAAGGGUAUGGCUGUUCGCCAUUUAAAGUGGUACGCGAGCUGGGUUUAGAACGUCGUGAGACAGUUCGGUCCCUAUCUGCCGUGGGCGCUGGAGAACUGAGGGGGGCUGCUCCUAGUACGAGAGGACCGGAGUGGACGCAUCACUGGUGUUCGGGUUGUCAUGCCAAUGGCACUGCCCGGUAGCUAAAUGCGGAAGAGAUAAGUGCUGAAAGCAUCUAAGCACGAAACUUGCCCCGAGAUGAGUUCUCCCUGACUCUUUAAGGGUCCUGAAGGAACGUUGAAGACGACGACGUUGAUAGGCCGGGUGUGUAAGCGCAGCGAUGCGUUGAGCUAACCGGUACUAAUGAACCGUGAGGCUUAACCUU